rnacentral:rRNA from 1 species
UUUAAAGUCUAACCUGCCCAAUGAGGAGUUGAAUGGCCGCGGUAAUUUGACCGUGCAAAGGUAGCAUAAUCAUUAGUUUUUUAAUUGAAAGCUGGAAUGAACGGUUGGACGAGAAAAUAACUGUCUCAAUUUAAUUGAAUGUUGAAUUUUAUUUAUAAGUAAAAAAGCUUAUAUGAUUUUAAAAGACGAGAAGACCCUAUAGAGUUUUAUAUUUUAUUAUAUUAGAAAGAGUUAGAAUUUUUAUUUUUCUUGUAUAAUAAGUUAUUUUGCUGGGGCAGUGGGAAAAUUGAUUAAACUUUUUUUUAUUUUUUUACAUUAAUUUAUGGUUAAAUGAUCCAUUUUUUAUGAUUAUAAGAUUAAAUUACCUUAGGGAUAACAGCGUAAUUUUUUUUUAGAGUUCUUAUCGAAAAAAGAGUUUGCGACCUCGAUGUUGGAUUAAAAUUAACUUUUGGUGUAGGGGCUAAAAGGUUAGGUCUGUUCGACCUUUAAAAUUUUACAUGAUCUGAGUUUAAACCGGUGUGAGCCAGGUUGGUUUCUAUCUUUAAAUAAUUUAAAUACUUUAGUACGAAAGGAUUAAGUAUUUUUAAAAUUUAAUAUAUUUUGAAUAUGAAUAUU